GACAUUCAGAGUCUAGGUUUGCAAGGGAGCAGAGGAACAGGAUGAAGGGAGCUAUCUGCCAUGGGACCAUCGGUGACAUUCAUGUUAAGGUUUCAGGAGGGCUGGCUGGCUGGGAUAAAGCUGUGUCGUCGAAGAACCCCGUGGACUGGUAUCUAAUGAUCCAGCCUUCAAUCAGAAGAACAGUCUAAUAAGGUUUUGACUGGACCUCUCUCUUCCCAGGGAAUGAGGACAGUGGCCGCCAUGAAAGAAUGCCGAACUGCCUCUGCCGUACCACUGCGUGUUCUCAAACGACAAGAAAGGCUGUAUUUAACAAAUUCGAGAACUAAUCCCGGCAAGGGAAGCUUGAGACUGUGCCCAAAAAUAACUCCAUCCGGGUGACAGAGUGCUGUCGGCCCUCCGUGGUUGAGCCUCUGCGGAAACCAGCUCCACCAACAAGUUGGCACUCUGGAAUCAGACCUAGACUGCCGGCAACAAUUUGGUCUUAAGUACACACAACCGGCAUCACCAGGAUUGCACACUGCUUGCCUCCGAGCACCUGCCAUGGUAAUUCCUCAAACCCCCUGUCACUACACCAUCACACCCCACUUCCCAGGAGAGAGGACUGAGGCCCAACAUGGCUUCUCAACAUCAUCCAAAGUGACAAAGGAGCCUAAUUCCCAUGAUCCAACCAAUGUACCUGAGCAAGACCAUUCUCAACCGGAAAUGAAAUGCAUGCUGUGGAAGGUACUGCUAGAAAGAUAACAGAGCGCUCACCAGAUUCGGACCCCAUACAAAGGGCCCACGAGACAAGACUGGGUUACUCGCCAUCAACUUCCGUGAGAGACUUCUGCUCCUUCUCAGACACCCGGGAGCUUGUCUGCUGCUUCUUUGUAGUGUAUUUCGAUCAAUUCUCUGUCCUUUGUGCCUUUGGUAAAUUCUUUUACCAAUUGUCCCCACUGGCCUCGCCCACCAUUCUACGUGGACACCCUCCUCCCCGCCCCCAAAGUCCAUAAAAAGCCCAAUGCUAUCCAUGGGCUGAUGUCUAUUCUGAAAGUGCUGGAAGGAAGACGCUGGAACUAGCUCUUGGAGAGAAAAACAGAUUAUUUUCCCCCCAGUAUCCUCAGGGGGUAGGUUCCAGGAGCCCCAGUAUCCCCAAAUCCACAGAUGCUCAGGUCUUUUAUAUAAGAUGGAAUGUUUGUAGAACCUAUACAUCCUCUUGAAUAUUUAACUCUGUAGAUUACUGAGUACACCAAGCUCAGUGUAACUACUGUAAAUCAUGGGGGAAAAGACCAUGUCUGUACAGGUGCAACUGAAAAGUACAGAUGUUUACAAGAGCCAGAGAUGGUGGCGCACACUUGCGUCCUCAGGUGGGACACAACUUCAGGUGAUUCAAAAUUACUUCACUCUCAGUACCUGAAGAGACAGAAGCAGUCAGACUGCAAGUCUCAGGCCAGCCAGGGCUACAUAGGAGAGUCUAGUCUUAGGAUCAAGAAAAGGAACCAACAAACCUCCUCUCCAAACAAAAUCAAUCAAGCACCAUUUUUUCCCCCUGCAGUUGGCUGAACCCUUGGCAGCUGCCAUGGGUGUAGUUUUGUACUUUGGGUGUUAUUAGUGAUAGAAGCUAUGCAGGGAUCAGCAAUAGUUGCCGUGUGUUUCAUUGUUAUUCAGAAAAUGAGGAAUGUACAUGAGGGAAGUAAAGAACAGAACUUUAUCAGCCAACCUUCACAGGGCCAAGAAUAUGUGAGAACAUUAAGCCAGACCAAUGAUGAGGUAAAACCACCCAUAAAGAGAGAGAGGAGGUGAUGAUUGGAAGCGUCCAUCAGGCUUAGAGAGGGGUCUAUGCAGGGCAGAGUCCAAGGGUAGUGACACCCAAUGGUGAGAGUCAGCAAUUAGGCUUCCAUCGCCAAGCUCCUCACAUGGCUCCUUGUAGGUAGCACACACAGUUGGACCAUGCUUGCCCAACACAGGCUGCCUGACCCUUGUCUAUUCUUAGUGACCUAACAGAAUGCUUGCUAUUAGGGCACAGAAUGCAAGACUGAAGCCCUUGAACAGUUUGCAACAUUAUUGUGAAAGGACGUUUGGCUCCAGAAACAGCCAGCCAGGAGAUUUGCUCGUAGCAAACUUGUUAUCUUUCUGACCUCACCAGUGAAGCCAGGAUAAAUUCUGAGCUGUGCAAACCAAGCUCUUAUAAAAGGGAAGAUAUUUUGAUUCCCUUUUGGAAUGGUACGGGAGAUGGAGCCUGUACCAUUUCUGGUGUCAGACUUGGUAAGCAGUCGCUGUAUGCAGGAUUUGUAGAUAAUUACAAAUCCUCACGAUGCCCUUUCAGGGUGAAUAUCAGCUUUGUAACAGCAUCAGAGUUUGGCCAAAGCAGACUCUGUCUGUGAUAAUAAGCACCUACAAAUAUCCAGAGUUUUGCUGCAAGACCUCAGGCCUCUUUCCUUAUUACCAAGGUCUCCAGUGGUUACCAGUUUGUCAACAAGCUGUUUCAGAACUUGUAAUUAGGGGCCAGAGGGAUGACUCAGCAGUUAAGCGUGCCCACUGCCCUUGCACAGGACUGCAGUUUGGUUCCCAGCACCCACAUCGGGUGGCUCACAAUGAAUUGUAACUCCCUUUCCAGGGGAUCCCAAACAUUUUUUUUUUGUCCUCUUCAGGUAUUGCACACAAAUAAAAAAAGUGUGUGUUUUUUU